UGGAAUUGUUUGUGAAAAUUUCUUGCAG
rnacentral:piRNA from 1 species